CUCUCUGAGGGAGGGUAGAGUUCAAAUUCCACAUUUGUGUUCCUCCAGAGGCCCAGCAUGCCAAUGCACUCAAACACAGAUGAGAUUUCCAGAGCUUUCUUAAGAACUGAGUGUUGUUGUUUUGUUUUUUUCCUUUGAACUGGUAUGCCAAGCUCACUGCAGUUUGAGCUGCGAGAAAGGAAAUGCCUGUUUUCCUUACGAAAGUCAUACAUAAUUCUUGACUUCACACCUCUCAGAAGAAACUGCUGAAAAUGUCCCAGAGAGCCCUCCCCACUCCCUCAACUCAUCCCUCCAUUCACCCAGCAUUUGAGGGUCAGAAAUUAAGCAAAGGCAGCUAUGGGCAGCACGGAUCAGGGCCAGUGCCCAGCAGCCUCUGGUCCAGUCAGAGAGGAAACAGGCCACAACUAUUGUCUAUUGUUCUCCAGCAAGUCACCCCAAUUGUCAGAGAAGAGGCCACAUGCUUCGACAAGCAAGGAGAACAUGCCGGGUCGUCAAACUUCCUGUGAAAAGUCCCUCUUUGUUUAGAAAUGAUGCCAGCCUGUUUCUAUGUUUCUAUUAGAGAACAAACAGAAAAGUUGCCCGGAAGACUCCAGAAUGAGAUAAAAACAAGAGUCUCAGAGAAAUUAAACAAAUUCCCCAAGGUCACAUCCUAAUUGAAUCCUAAAGGAGCCAGGAUGCAAGCCCAGACACCCCGAUCGUCUAACCACUAAAUCACACCCCAUCUUGUGCAAUGAAAAUUGCAGAAGGAGGGCAAUCGUGGUGGGUCCACAGACAUGAGGACCAUCUGCUGAAACCAAGGCACAGCGCUGAGAGGAGGCAGAGAAGCUACAUCGAGGCCUCCCCAACAGUGAACGCACUUCUCUACACAGAAAACAUUAC